AGAGUUUGAUCCUGGCUCAGGAUGAACGCUAGCGGCAGGCCUAACACAUGCAAGUCGAGGGGUAGAAUGUCUUCGGAUGUUUGAGACCGGCGCACGGGUGCGUAACGCGUAUGCAACCUACCUCUUACUGGGGAAUAGCCCGGAGAAAUUCGGAUUAAUGCCCCAUAUGCUCGUACGACCUCAUGGUCGAGCGAGGAAAGCUCCGGCGGUAAGAGAUGGGCAUGCGUCCUAUUAGCUUGUUGGUGAGGUAACGGCUCACCAAGGCUACGAUAGGUAGGGGGCCUGAGAGGGUGACCCCCCACACUGGUACUGAGACACGGACCAGACUCCUACGGGAGGCAGCAGUGAGGAAUAUUGGGCAAUGGAGGCAACUCUGACCCAGCCAUGCCGCGUGCAGGAAGACGGCCCUAUGGGUUGUAAACUGCUUUUGUACGAGAAUAAACCUUUCCACGUGUGGAAAGCUGAAGGUACCGUACGAAUAAGGAUCGGCUAACUCCGUGCCAGCAGCCGCGGUAAUACGGAGGAUCCAAGCGUUAUCCGGAUUUAUUGGGUUUAAAGGGUCCGUAGGCGGGUCUUUAAGUCAGUGGUGAAAGCCUGCAGCUUAACUGUAGAAUUGCCAUUGAUACUGGAGACCUUGAGUGUAGUAGAAGUAGGCGGAAUAAGGCAUGUAGCGGUGAAAUGCAUAGAUAUGCCUUAGAACACCGAUUGCGAAGGCAGCUUACUAUGUUACAACUGACGCUGAGGGACGAAAGCGUGGGGAGCGAACAGGAUUAGAUACCCUGGUAGUCCACGCCGU
rnacentral:rRNA from 1 species